UGGGGAAUAUUGGACAAUGGGCGCAAGCCUGAUCCAGCCAUGCCGCGUGAGUGAUGAAGGCCCUAGGGUUGUAAAGCUCUUUCACCGGUGAAGAUAAUGACGGUAACCGGAGAAGAAGCCCCGGCUAACUUCGUGCCAGCAGCCGCGGUAAUACGAAGGGGGCUAGCGUUGUUCGGAUUUACUGGGCGUAAAGCGCACGUAGGCGGACUAUUAAGUCAGGGGUGAAAUCCCGGGGCUCAACCCCGGAACUGCCUUUGAUACUGGUAGUCUUGAGUUCGAGAGAGGUGAGUGGAAUUCCGAGUGUAGAGGUGAAAUUCGUAGAUGUUCGGAGGAACACCAGUGGCGAAGGCGGCUCACUGGCUCGAUACUGACGCUGAGGUGCGAAAGCGUGGGGAGCAAACAGG
rnacentral:rRNA from 1 species